GACGAACCGUGCGAACGUUGUUCGGAAUCACUGGGCUUAAAGGGCGCGUAGGCGGGCUGUUUAGUCGGGGGUGAAAUCGUUCGGCCCAACCGGACAAGGGCCUCCGAUACUGGCAGUCUCGAGGGAGGUAGGGGUUGGUGGAACUUCCGGUGGAGCGGUGAAAUGCGUAGAGUAUCGGAAGGAACGCCGGUGGCGAAAGCGGCCAACUGGACCUCUUCUGACGCUGAUGCGCGAAAGCUAGGGGAGCGAACGGG
rnacentral:rRNA from 1 species